CCGGUUCAAUGUCAAUGCCCCGACGGUGGAUCAGGGAUGGGAGUUCGCUGCGGAACUCACGCAUAUCCACAACUAUACUUUGCUGUGUACCGUUCUGCUCCUGGCCACCUGUUAACAAAAGGUGGCACGAAAGGUCUGUUUACAGAGUCACUAAAGGCGAUUUUCUCUUAAACUGAACAGAGUUAAAAGGAAAAGUCACAAAUGACUCCCGAACACCAGCGUUCACUGUUGCCUUCUCUCUGCCCCUCUAAGAACGGCCCCUGAUGGUUGCACACGGCCCCACUCUACUCCUGAUUCCCACGGCAGAGUCAGAGUCCGGCACAUACUAGAUGCCUAAAAAGGCUCGCUGAGUAAACUGCCUUAUAAGCUGCUGUGAGAACCUUUGGAGCUGUUAGUGCUUGUACCAGUGAGUCCGGAGGUGGGAAAAUGGAAGAAGGUGGGAAAAACCGUAAGCCGGUAGACCAGAACUUCUCACACUUGAACGUGCACAGAACAGCCUGGGAGCAAGUUAAAGGCA